rnacentral:tRNA from 1 species
GCGCCCUUAGCUCAGUUGAUAGAGCAACGGCCUUCUAAGCCAAAUGCAGGUUCGAAUCCCUGCAGGGCGCG